rnacentral:lncRNA from 1 species
AGAGUUUAGCUCCAACCCUAAUUAAACACACCUGAACCAGCUAAUCAAGCUCUUACUAGGCAUAGAAACUUCCAGUCAGGUGUGUUGAGGCAAGUUGGAGCUAAACUCUGCAGGACACCAGCCCUCCAGGACCGAGUUUGGACAGCCCUGCUCUAAAAAAGAUGUCAAAUAGAUGUCUUUGCGAUGUACGUGUGCUAUCAGACAUUCAAGUCAGAUUUGUCUGGCCACGGCAGAUGUUGAAGUUCAUCUUGAUGCUCCAACUCUCCAGGUGAUCUGACCAAUCACAACGCCGAAUCUGCCAUUUUGUCUGACAAACCAGACAGAAGAAUAGAUUAACGUCGAUGGACUUCAACUUGAAAAAUGGCGCUACAGUGAUCUGUCACGACACGUUAAAGAACCACAAAACGACUCCAUAUGAGACUAGGAGAAGAUUACCCUUCAUACCAGGUGUGUUAAGGAAGUUACAUUCUAGUCCUGGUGAAGACACAUUACUCUGCAGUCCCAGACUCUGUGCUGACAGCAGCACAAAUUGAUUCCACGAGGUUUGCAGAACCAGCCACAAAAGCAUCUGUCUCCCUCCUUGCCACCGCUCUUCUCUGAUGGGCCGCAGAUUCGGCCCCUACCUUCAGCAUACGGUGCUCUCCUGGCAUAACGCCAGCUGGCCACUCAGGGGAGGACAGCGGUGGUCAUCUGUCAGUGCCAGUCUGUCAGCAAAUAGCGGGUGAUGGAUGGAGCCUUGUGCUCGUCAAUAAAACCCACUUUGAAAUGAUUGCAGAGCUGUGCAGAGACCAGGCCCUCCCGCUGAAGCGCAGCGGGGUCUGGCCUUCACCCUCCGUCUCCAAGCGUUGCCUUGUUGGACUCAGAGGGGUAGAUUGAGGUAAAUUUGGCUUUUAUGCUGAGGAAUAGUAGGUUUAUGUAUUGUUUACGACGGGAAGAUGACAUCAUUCAUUCUGAGCUUGGAAAAACAUCUCAGAACACACAUAGUUCACCCAAAAAUGAAUGCUGUCAUCAUUUACUCACCCUAAUGUCAUUCCAAACACAAAUGCAAAACUUUUUAAUGGAUAGUUCUUAGAAAUGGACUUGAAUUGGUCACUCGACCAAAUGGGGACUGGAGCUUUCAAACUUCAAAAAGGAUGCAAAAGCAUCAUAAAAAUGGUUCAUACUACUUCUGGAGCUGCAUACUAGCUCUGUAUUGACCAAAAGUCAGAUCUUUUCAAUAAAUAGUUUGAUCCAGUUCUCAAAACUUGAAAAUGAUUCAUUCACAAACUGGACUGAUCUGAUUGCAUUCAACUCAAUGAUUUUGACACAGUGGCGCUGGAGGUUAAUAUUU